AGCCCUGUCUUCUCCACCUAGGGAGAGAGACCCCUCGAGCUCAUCAAGCUCCUUCUGCGACUGAUCAGAGAUCCCAUCGUGAGUCCAGCUCCUGGUCCCGUGCUCCGAAUAUCGGUCCCCGGCAGCGUGGUAUCUCACAGAAUCUCUGAGCAAUGGAGAGCUAAUCAAAGACAAGUUUAAUAGGAGAAGAAAAUACUUGGAUUGGGAGGAUGGCUGAAAAGUCCCAUUGAACAAGGCCCUCAAAUGGAGUUCCUGUGGAGUGGUCACCUUUUUGAUGACUUCAACUGGGAACAUCAGUACGGAACCAUUGCUGGGUGUUCAUUCCAUCACCCCUUCCUAUGUCCCUGCUCAGGUCACCCUGCGUCUGUCUAUAUGCAUUGCUACCAGUUUAGACAGUGAGUUACAUUUAGUGCAUUUGUGCAUUGUUCUUUAUUGUAUCCAUGGUAUCUAGCACAAUUCUUGUUCUUGUUAGAGCUUGGUAAAUGUCAUUGAUUAAUCCAGGGCAGAUUAUCUCUCUGUCUCUCUAUUUUUGUGAAUCCUCUGCAUAAACAAUUUAUGACA
rnacentral:lncRNA from 1 species